CUAAUACACUCCGACCCGAAUAAUUAUCCUGAACCCGACCCGACACUCACUGUGCCCAUGACUUCCCGCUCCGUCGUCAUUUCCAAUUUUGAUUUUGAAAUUAUAUAUUUUCCCAAAGGCUCUCUCUCCUCCGAACAACGUCUCUUUCUCUAAAAAAUGGCUCCUCCCUUUGUUUUCCCCCAAAUUAUACGAACCCUAGCAGAAGAUCCGGAAGACAAUCACAGCUUGUUCGCCCAGAAUCCCGUCGACGGUGACCUCUCUUCGCCCUUCCGAUCUCGAAGAAUUCGUCAGAGGAUCACAUCUCAUCGCAAUGCCUUGAAUUGAAGAUAUACAUUUUCUUUCUCAUCAUUAUUGUCAUGACUGAAGAAUCACAUGUUAUCUCUGUUCACAGCACCAAGGUUGCAGCAAGAGGGAGGAAGAAGCAGAUUGUUCAGUCAUGGAACUGGGAGCCUCAGAGGGGGACGAUGCUUAAUUUUGAUUGCAAACUCUCUUGAGAUCAACCUGUCCUUGCUCUUUUCAUGAUAAGUCCAUCUAUGAGGCUGUGGAGAAUGCCUUCAUUUUAAUCUACAUAAGGAAAAAUCCAGUUGAAAUGGCCAAACAGUUGUUGAACCUUGCCAUAGAUUCGAAUAUAGGAGAUCAAGCAGCAUUAGAGUUUAUUGUUAAUGCUUUAGUGUCCAAAGGUGAAAUUUCUAGCAGCAUGACUUCGGCUCUGUGGUACUUCUUUUGGUUUAACAUCAAUGGGACAACUGCUGAGCAAAGUCGUGCGGCUCAUGGCUGCAAAGUCGUCCUCUAGGAUUCUUGGAUUCCAUCAAAAAGGACAAACUGAUGGAGGCUCUGGUUGACAAGCUUGGCAAUAGAUUUAGCGGAGUCACAAAAACAAAACAGUGGGAAUACAUUUGGUAUUCUCUUUCGUUGCUGACGUUCACCGAGAAGGGAAUCAAAAAGCUUAUCGAGUCAUUCAAAUCCUACGAGUACGCUCUAGCAGAGGAUCUAGUGACAGAAAAUUGUAGAAGCAUAAUCAAUAAGGUAACAUUUCUCUGGUUUGCUUCACUCAUGCCAUUCUCUUCAUGUUUCUAGUGUUGUUUGUGAGUUUGCCAUCUGGUUGUGAAUCUGAACAUGGGGAAAAGUUUGCGAAACAGAACUUAAAGCGUGCAUGGAAGAGUUUGAGGAGAAGCUCAACAAGUUCCUCAUGGAAAAGAAAGAAAAAGAAAAACCGCAAGAAACGCUCAGGUUCAUGUAGAGAAAGCCAAGAAUAUGGAAUCUCUUGUUUUUUUUUUUUUUUUUUUUGAGAAAAGGGCAAUGGAAUCUCUUGUUGUCCCCAACAAAGUGAAAGAAGAACCUGUACAAGAAUAUGAUCAAGAUGAAGGUUAGUAAUGUUGCAUCAUGGCUAUAGCAUAGUUCAUUGUACCAGACGGAUAAUCUUUAUCUCUCUCCUCUCUUUCUAAAGCACCCUUUUAGUGUGGUUCUUAGAUGCUUCAGACAGUGAAAUUGUGGAUCCAGCUAUGGAAGAAGCAGGGAAUAAUUUGAAAGCAUCCAACUCCGAGGAAGAGACAGAUUCUGAGCGAAGUCAUACCACGAAUCCUCUCAUUCCUUAAACCAAAACACCAGUGGCGGGGAAGAAAGCGAAUCAGAAAGCAGGAACGUCAAGAGAGGAAACCGUACAGAAUCAUCGAGACACCUCAGAAGAAGCCUGAGGUCAUCAAGUAGAACGCAAAGAAACUGUGUCAGGGCAGGGCAGGGCAGAGAGAGUGUGUGGUUAAGUUACAACUAGGUCUGUUUUUGGUCACUGCUUUCGUUUUCGUUUUUUUUUGCUCUAUGAUGCUUUAGACAUUGAAGAAUCAAUCAUAUCUAUUUGUCUAUGGUAAUACGAUAAAUGUUCAGCUGUGAUAAACUUGUAGCGACUACUUCCUGAAUU